AUUAAAACAAGCCCUGCAGUGUUUAAGCUCAGUGUGUAAAGGAUGACACUGGGUUAUAGCUCAGAGGCACAGAA
rnacentral:snoRNA from 1 species